GUUUUCUUUAACAGAUAUGAGUCAUGUAUUUUAAUGUUUUUUUGUCUUUGUCCUAUUUAAGUGUCUAGUUUCUAUAAAAGAGAGUCACUCCUAUAGUAUUUGUUAAUGUUAUGCUUUAAAUAGGAAGUUUGUAUAAGGUGUUUAUACAUUCUAAAAAUAGAAGGUUCUUGGAGUAUCCUUUGUUGUGAAACUGUGGGGGCACCCUUGUAAGUUCUUCAAUGAACCAUGUCAACUGGUAUUAUAUAGAACUAUUUAUACUUGUUACUCAAAGAACCAAAUGAACAACCUAUCCACUCAAAUCUACCCCAAAAGGGUCUUCAAAUGUUUGUUUGUGAAACCAUUAAAAGUGAGUUAUUUGAAGAACCCUUUCAAAGGUUUCUUAUAAGAAUGUAAGGAUUCCACAAAAGGUUCAAUGUGAAGAACCCAUAAAGGACCCUCCAAGAACCUUCUCAUUUCAUAGCAUCUGACUCCCAUGUCAAUUCAGUGGCACGAAAAUGCACAAUUUGUGUUGGGCUUAAAAAUGAAGGAAAUAAUACACUUUAAGUCAAUUUAUUUGUAUUGCAUUUUGAAUGCUGAAUGAAGGAUACAUGCAUACGAUUUCUCUACAAGUAACUGCAGGCUCUCGGGAGAAAUGCAGAAAAACAGAGCAGGUAGUGAUUUCCCGUUGGAUAAUAUCUUGUAACAGCCACCAAGUCGUGGUAGAAAUACCCUGUUUGGGGAAGAGGGACUGGUGCAUGUGUAUAUGGAGACACAGAAUGUAAUGGUGUAAUUUAAGGUUAACUGAUGUGCAGACGUGAAAGGGCGUGGUUGAAUGGUGACACGUGGGUGUUAAGAGUGUUCUGGAAUGUGGACCGUGUACAAGUCCAACUGGGCGAGGACCCAGAAUGAGCAUGAAAGGGAUGGUUUGUGCUGCCUGACGUUAAGCUGAAACUCCUGUGUGUUGUACUGAGAGCCACUAGUUGUGUGUGUGUGUGUGUGUGUGUGUGUGUGUGUGUGUGUGUGUG
ensembl:lncRNA